CACCUCAGCCUGCUGUGUAGUUUAUUGCUUUUAUGUCAUGUGAUAAGUCAAAUAUCUUUGACUGUAUUAUUGCAUGUCUCAUAUAGUAUUCUCACGUACAGUUUGACAGAAAUUUUUUGGGAGAAAAUGCCAAAAAAGU